GAGAUGGUGAAGGCCUUUGGAACUGUUGUACUGAAGCUGAGCUCCUAUUAUUUCACAGGUUUUCUUGCAUUAUUGAUUGGAAUCCCAGGAUUUUCUGGAAAUCAAGCAUUAAUGGGACAAAAGGUGUUUUCAUGAAAGUUGAAGAUUUUGGCCUGGAUCUGCCGAUUAACAGGGGAGAUAUUGGGCCUCCAGGAACUCUAGGGAAGAAAGGAGCUCCAGGAAUACCUA